rnacentral:piRNA from 1 species
UUGCAAUCUGAAGAUAUCAUU